rnacentral:rRNA from 1 species
GUGAAAUUGUUGAAAGGGAAACGCUUGAAGUCAGUCAUUUGUUUGCUGCAGAAAUCAACCUGAUCUUGGUCAGGUGCACUUUCUGUUAGCAGAGGGUCAGCAUCAAUUUUGACUGUUGGAUAAAGGCCUUGGGAAUGUAGCAUCCAUUGGAUGUGUUUAUAGACCAAUGUUCAUAUACAAUGGUUGGGAUUGAGGAACUCAGCAUGACUACAUGUUUUGGAGCUUUCGGGCUCACAUUCCAUGCUUAGGAUGUUGAUGAAAUGGCUUCAAUCGACCCGUCUUGAAACACGGACCAAGGAGUCCAACACGCAUGCGAGUAUUUGGGUGGCAAACCCAAGUGCACAAUGAAAGUGAAAGUUGAGAACCCUGUCAUAGGGUGCAUUGACGCCCAGACCUGACCUUUUGUGAGGGAUCUGCGGUAGAGCAUGUGUGUUGGGACCCGAAAGAUGGUGAACUAUGCCUGAAUAGGGUGAAGCCAGAGGAAACUCUGGUGGAAGCUCGUAGCGAUUCUGACGUGCAAAUCGAUCGUUGAAUUUGGGUAUAGGGGCGAAAGACUAAUCGAACCAUCUAGUAGCUGGUUCCCGCCGAAGUUUCCCUCAGGAUAGCAGACACUCAUUGAAUCAGAUUUAUGUGGUAAAGCGAAUGAUUAGAGGCCUUGGGGUUGAAACAACCUUAACCUAUUC